AACAGAGAACAUAUAUAAAUUUUUAACUUUCUUAUUUCUUACACAUAAAAAAAUUGAUAGAAACCCAGAAUUUUUGAAAUUCAUUUUCUUUCAAAGCAAAAAAUUUCAAUUGAAAUACUGGUUUAAUUUGAAAAGAAAAAAAGGGUAAAAAUGAUAUAAGCAAUGCAAUAUGGAUGAUUCUUGUUUUCAUUCAAUCAUGAUACAACAUGGAGGAAGAUGGGAUACAACAGGCCAAUAUUGCUUGUUGAUGGAUCUGUUCUAAAAUCAUUAUACCGUGGGACAAUACUGAUUGCAUGCAUUUUGAAUUCGGAAGGUAAGAGCAUCAACUAAAUUCUUGCCUAUCAUGACUGAUGGAGCUAAACGAUUCAUAGUUUGUCUGCAAAAUAGUAAAUGUAGUUGUGGACGAUUUCAGUUAGAUGAGAUACCUUGUAGUCAUGUCAUGACUGCUAUUAAAUAUAGAAAUCAGCAUGGAGAGAACUAUUGCUCCUCGUACUACAACAACAAAAUUUUUUGAAAUUCAUAUGCAAUACCAGUUGAAACUCUUCCUUGUGAAAGUAUUUAAAAAAUACCACGUGAAGUGUUGGAUGGAAUUGUACUGCUGUCAAAUUCUAAAAGGCUACUAGGGAGAUCAGGUACUGAAAGAUGAAAAAACCAAGUGAAGAUAAAUGUAAGAGGUCCAGAGUCACUUGCAGUAGAUGUCAUAGAGAGGGGCACAAUCGAACAACAUGUCACAACUAUCCACCAGUAGUUUAUGAAAAUAUGCAAUUUAGUUCUUGAAGUUGUUUAGUAAAUAAGAGAUAUGUUAUUGAAUGAUAUUUUUUUAUAAAACA